CGCGGGCUGGAGGAAGGGCGGCCGUGGCGCCGUGAGGGGCUGAGACAAUUGAAAUGUUGAAAAUGUCACAAAACAAGAUAUUUACAGCAUUGAAGUAUCACUCAACGGACUAUUUAUAUGAGAGCAUGGCAAGGCAGAAGUUUUCCAUCUGGAAAUUAUCACUUUGCUUUCCU
rnacentral:lncRNA from 12 species